rnacentral:rRNA from 1 species
UGGGGAAUUUUGCACAAUGGGGGAAACCCUGAUGCAGCGACGCCGCGUGAUUUAGAAGGCCUUCGGGUUGUAAAAAUCUUUUCUAUGGGAAGAAAAUGACAGUACCAUAGGAAUAAGGACCUGCUAAUUACGUGCCAGCAGCCGCGGUAAUACGUAAGGUCCGAGCGUUGUCCGGAAUCAUUGGGCGUAAAGGGUACGUAGGCGGGUAAGCAAGUUAGAAGUGAAAUCCUGUAGCUCAACUACAGUAAGCUUUUAAAACUGCUCAUCUUGAGAUAUGGAAGGGAAAGUGGAAUUCCUAGUGUAGCGGUGAAAUGCGCAGAUAUUAGGAGGAAUACCGGUGGCGAAGGCGACUUUCUGGCCAUAAUCUGACGCUGAGGUACGAAAGCGUGGGUAGCAAACAGG